rnacentral:piRNA from 1 species
UUGAAGCUCACCCCUUUGGUAAUGGUUGC